GACGAACGCUGGCGGCGUGCUUAACACAUGCAAGUCGAACGGUAAGGCUCCAGCUUGCUGGGGUACACGAGUGGCGAACGGGUGAGUAACACGUGGGUGACCUGCCCUGCACUUCGGGAUAAGCCUGGGAAACUGGGUCUAAUACCGGAUAGGACCGCACCGUGAGGGUGUGGUGGAAAGUUUUUUCGGUGUGGGAUGGGCCCGCGGCCUAUCAGCUUGUUGAUGGGGUAAUGGCCUACCAAGGCGGCGACGGGUAGCCGGCCUGAGAGGGUGGACGGCCACAUUGGGACUGGGACACGGCCCAGACUCCUACGGAGGCAGCAGUGGGGAAUAUUGCACAAUGGGCGGAAGCCUGAUGCAGCGACGCCGCGUGGGGGAUGACGGCCUUCGGGUUGUAAACUCCUUUCACCAUCGACGAAGGGUUUCUGACGGUAGAUGGAGAAGAAGCACCGGCUAACUACGUG
rnacentral:rRNA from 1 species